GACAGAGGGGGCAAGCGUUGCUCGGAAUUACUGGGCGUAAAGGGCGCGUAGGCGGGAUGGCAAGUCGGUCGUGAAAUCCCUCGGCUCAACCGAGGAACGUCGAUCGAUACUGCUGUUCUUGAGGAUUGCAGAGGAGACUGGAAUUCCCGGUGUAGCGGUGAAAUGGUGUAGAGAUCGGGAGGAACACCGGUGGCGAAGGCGGCUUGCUGGGCCUUACCUGACGCUGAGGAGCGAAAGCGUGGGGAGCGAACAGG
rnacentral:rRNA from 1 species